AUACGGAGGGUGCAAGCGUUAUCCGGAAUCAUUGGGUUUAAAGGGUCCGUAGGCGGACUAAUAAGUCAGGGGCGAAAUCCCACAGCUUAACUGUGGAACUGCCUUUGAUACUGUUAGUCUUGAGUUAUAUGGAAGUAGAUAGAAUGUGUAGUGUAGCGGUGAAAUGCUUAGAGAUUACACAGAAUACCGAUUGCGAAGGCAGUCUACUACAUAUAUACUGACGCUAAUGGACGAAGCGUGGGGAGCGAACAGGAUUAGAAACCCCAGUAGUCC
rnacentral:rRNA from 1 species